GCGCCUUCGGCGUCCGAGUUGUAAUCUCGAGAAGUGUUUUCCGUGAUAGACCGCAUACAAGUCUCUUGGAACAGAGCGUCAUAGUGGUGAGAACCCAGUACACGAUGCGGAUGCCUAUUACUUUGUGAUACACUUUCGAAGAGUCGAGUUGUUUGGGAAUGCAGCUCAAAUUGGGUGGUAAAUUCCAUCUAAAGCUAAAUAUUGGCGAGAGACCGAUAGCGAACAAGUACCGUGAGGGAAAGAUGAAAAGCACUUUGGAAAGAGAGUUAACAGUACGUGAAAUUGUUGGAAGGGAAACACAUGCAGUGAUACUUGCUAUUCGGGGCAACUCGAUUGGCAGGCCCGCAUCAGUUUUUCGGGGCGGAAAAUCAUAGAGAGAAGGUAGCAGUCUCGGCUGUGUUAUAGCUCUUUAUUGGAUUCGCCCUGGGGGACUGAGGAACGCAGCGUGCUUUUUGCAUGAGCUUCGGCUUAUCCACGCUUAGGAUGCGGGUUUAUGGCUGUAUAUGACC
rnacentral:rRNA from 1 species